rnacentral:lncRNA from 1 species
AAAGAAACUACUUUUUAUGUACUAGGUUAAAAAACAUGUUUUAGGUUAAAGACCAUAUAGUAGUUAGCAGUUCACAAGAUGUGCUUUGUUGCAAAUAUAAUUAAACACACACACGCACACAUGGGGUGGGGGUGGGCACUUCUGAACCUGUUGUAUUGAAUGAUAAAACUAAUCUAGCCUGUUUAGUAUCUCACUCUCAUCAAUAUAAGGCCAGGCAAUCAUCAUGUCAUUUGAUGCAGCCCAACCAAGAAUUCCCUUGCUGCCUGAACUCCAGCUUAUCUCUUUCUUAUUCAUGCAGACACUCGUAUUGAUUAUAUUAUAUGCUGGGACUCCUCAUUAGCCAUUUGGAUUAUCAGAGUUUAACAAUAUAACUGACUCAAGCUGAAAAUUGCUUUGCAUUAUAGAUCCACGUCUACCUCACUAUGGAAGGAUUCAAGUUGUCCUCAACCUUAGAUUCAUCUUUGGUCAUUUGACGACCAUGAAACAUUUCCUGAAGAGAGAAUGUCUGGGGAGAUACCAAUAAUCCAGGGGUGGUCCUGAUGAUCAACAGCACAGUUUCUCAACCUCGGAAACUCAAAGCAAGGUGUGUCUUGGAUUGCUCAGCAUCUGCUAAAAUGUCCUUCUACGGUGCCACAUCUGUACUACAGAGGCUGGAAAAUGGUCAUCUACAUCCACAUUUCCCCCUUGACAUGAACUUUCCAUGUCUUGUCCAAGAUCUGAAUUAGGAACUGAGUUCAAUGGGAAGAGAGGAGAGACAUCUAGCACAUCUUGCGGGUGUAGAGUGACUGCACGGCAACGUAGCUGGAGUGGCAUCUGAUCAUCAGGCCACGGUUAAGGUGGUGGAACCUGGAAUCAGUAACUUCCUGACUGUAGCAGAAAUAAUAGUUCCCUGCCUGAGCCUCUUCCGGGAUAAGAUGUGCGAGUUGAACCUGGAACCUGCUGCCCCAACUCUACCAACAAUGUUUUAACACUAGAUUAUGUGAACUAAGUCCAUUUGUACUUAAAUAGCUAGAAUGUUUUCUGUUACCCAGAACUCUGAACCCUGUGUGGAAAGGACUAAUUUGCAUUAUCUCUAUAUCAUAAUAAAAGUAAAUUAAAAUUCA